rnacentral:rRNA from 1 species
CCUACGGGACGCAGCAGUGAGGAAUAUUGGUCAAUGGGCUUACGCCUGAACCAGCCAAGUCGCGUGAGGGAAGACUGCCCUAUGGGUUGUAAACCUCUUUUGUCAGGGAGCAACGCCGGCUACGUGUAGCCGGACUGAGAGUACCUGAAGAAAAAGCAUCGGCUAACUCCGUGCCAGCAGCCGCGGUAAUACGGAGGAUGCGAGCGUUAUCCGGAUUUAUUGGGUUUAAAGGGUGCGUAGGCGGAAUGCCAAGUCAGCGGUAAAAUCGCGGGGCUCAACCCCGGCGAGCCGUUGAAACUGUCGGA